rnacentral:rRNA from 1 species
AACGAACGCUGGCGGCAUGCCUAACACAUGCAAGUCGAACGAACCCUUCGGGUUAGUGGCGCACGGGUGCGUAACGCGUGGGAACCUGCCUUUAGGUUCGGAAUAACUCAGAGAAUUUGAGCUAAUACCGGAUAAUGUCUUCGGACCAAAGAUUUAUCGCCUUUAGAUGGGCCCGCGUUGGAUUAGCUAGUUGGUGGGGUAAAGGCCUACCAAGGCGACGAUCCAUAGCUGGUCUGAGAGGAUGAUCAGCCACACUGGGACUGAGACACGGCCCAGACUCCUACGGGAGGCAGCAGUGGGGAAUAUUGGACAAUGGGCGAAAGCCUGAUCCAGCAAUGCCGCGUGAGUGAUGAAGGCCUUAGGGUUGUAAAAGCUCUUUUACCAGGGAUGAUAAUGACAGUACCUGGAGAAUAAGCUCCGGCUAACUCGUGCCAGCAGCCGCGGUAAUACGGAGGAGCUAGCGUUGUUCGGAAUUACUGGGCGUAAAGCGCACGUAGGCGGCGAAGCAAGUCA